UGCCCUAGGUCCACAGCCCCCACCUCACCAUUUGGGAUUCCCUCUGCAGCCGGAAGCUGGUACGCGGGGUCCUGUGUGGCCCUCGAGGCCGCCUAUAGGAUGGACAAGCCUUGAGAACCUGGAUUAUUUCCUUAAGGGAUGUUUCACAGUCUACUGACCCACUGCCUCCUGUGCUGGCGCUCACGUUGUUUCCCGCUUUCCUGUCUGAGACAGUUAACGUCUUCACUCGACAGUUUUUGACCUGGUUUGAGCCACUUCCUUACGACAGAUUCCAGGAAGUGGGAUGACUGCUCACCGUACAAACUUUCACUCAUUCUACAGACGUCAACCGAGUCUGACUGUGUACCCAGCACCGCACUAGGACGUUAGGCCGGCCCCGCAGAUGGGACGACACCCUGUCCGCAGAGCCAGAUCUUCCAACGGGCCAUUUUUAUCUGAUUUGAGCUGUCUUUGCCAAUUUCCCUUAUAAAGUCUUCUUGAUCGCUGAAUAACAUUGGACCUUGAGGAAGCUUAUUGUGAAAACAAACACAAGGAAGGUUGCAGCUUUGUCACGGAGAGGAAGAAGGUGGCAAUCUGGACGUCCAGCACCUGGCAGAUGACUGCAGUGUGGUGUAGUAAGCGCAAUCCAGUGGACGCAGCCAGAAGAUGGAGCGGGUGAAAGGAACAGUGAAUGUGGAACUGCAUCACUCACAGAAAUUAACACACAUGCACACAAAACAAGGCCACCAAUUUUAAGGUAACCCAACAACAAAAAUUAGAAUGGUUUCCUGUGGGAAGGAAGGGACUGGGGAUAAAAGGGAAUGAAUAAACGAGAACAAUUUUGUGUGGAACAACGGUGGCAAUGUGGCAAGAAUGAAGAAAAUGACUAACUCAACCAUGUGUAAGUAAGAUCCAAAACAGUCCCUUUAAAAGAA